rnacentral:rRNA from 1 species
UACGGAGGGUGCAAGCGUUAUCCGGAUUCACUGAGUUUAAAGGAUGCGUAGGUGGGCAAGUAAGUCAGUGGUGAAAUCUCCGGGCUUAACCCGGAAACUGCCAUUGAUACUAUUUGUCUUGAAUACUGUGGAGGUCAACGGAAUAUGUCAUGUAGCGGUGAAAUGCUUAGAUAUGACAUAGAACACCAAUUGCGAAGGCAGCUGGCUACACAAAUAUUGACACUGAGGCACGAAAGCGUGGGGAUCAAACAGG